UGAACGCUGGCGGCGUGCCUAAUACAUGCACGUCGAGCGAACGGACGAGAAGCUUGCCUCUCUGAUGUUAGCGGCGGACGGGUGAGUAACACGUGGAUAACCUACCUAUAAGACUGGGAUAACUUCGGGAAACCGGAGCUAAUACCGGAUGAUAUUUUGAACCGCAUGGUUCAAAAGUGAAAGACGGUCUUGCUGUCACUUAUAGAUGGAUCCGCGCUGCAUUAGCUAGUUGGUAAGGUAACGGCUUACCAAGGCAACGAUGCAUAGCCGACCUGAGAGGGUGGUCGGCCACACUGGAACUGAGACACGGUCCAGACUCCUACGGGAGGCAGCAGUAGGGAAUCUUCCGCAAUGGGCGAAAGCCUGACGGAGCAACGCCGCGUGAGUGAUGAAGGUCUUCGGAUCGUAAAACUCUGUUAUUAGGGAAGAACAUAUGUGUAAGUAACUGUGCACAUCUUGACGGUACCUAAUCAGAAAGCCACGGCUAACUACGUG
rnacentral:rRNA from 1 species